rnacentral:snoRNA from 1 species
GAAGCAAGUGAUGAUAGCAAGACAGGGACAUCAGAACCCUUUCAGGGUUAUGACAGACUACGUCUAUAAUGGGAAUCUCUCUGAUGUUUU